ACGGAGGGUGCAAGCGUUAUCCGGAUUUAUUGGGUUUAAAGGGUGCGUAGGCGGAAUUUUAAGUCAGUGGUGAAAUCCUGCAGCUUAACUGUAGAACUGCCAUUGAUACUGAUCUUCUUGAAUUUAGUUGAGGUGGGCGGAACGUGUAAUGUAGCGGUGAAAUGCUUAGAUAUUACACAGAACACCGAUUGCGAAGGCAGCUCACUAAACUAACAUUGACGCUGAGGCACGAAAGCGUGGGUAGCGAACAGG
rnacentral:rRNA from 1 species